AUCCUUGAAUCUUUCCUAUUUUUAAUUUUUGGUGGAACACAAGAAGGUGCAGCCCUAGGUUUUCGUCCUCCAGGAACCUACCAUGUGCCAGACAAGGCUCUUCACAGCUCCUUGAGGGCAGAGACUGUCUUGUUCUCUCUGAUGCCUCAUCCCCUGCCUGGUACCAAGAAGAUAUGCAGGAAAAAUUUGUUAACUGACUAAAUAAACGG